rnacentral:tRNA from 1 species
UAAAGUAUAGCCAAGUGGUAAGGCAUCCGUUUUUGGUACGGAUAUUUCAAAGGUUCGAAUCCUUUUACUUUAA